ACAACUUUUAACAACGGAUCUCUUGGCUCACGCAUCGAUGAAGAACGCAGCGAAAUGCGAUAAGUAAUGUGAAUUGCAGAAUUCAGUGAAUCAUCGAAUCUUUGAACGCACCUUGCGCUCUCUGGUAUUCCGGGGAGCACACCUGUUCGAGUGU
rnacentral:rRNA from 1 species